ACGUACAGCCAGAGGUUGCAGAGUACAGAGGAUCCGGUCCACUCUUCUCUUCUAUACUUAAAGCUGCAAACCGUUGGAUUAGUACUACCCUGGGUGUCCACGUGGGAAUUCCCACUGCUGGACGUU
rnacentral:rRNA from 1 species